GAUGAACGCUGGCGGCGUGCCUAAUACAUGCAAGUCGAGCGAACGGACGAGAAGCUUGCUCUUCUGAUGUUAGCGGCGGACGGGUGAGUAACACGUGGAUAACCUACCUAUAAGACUGGGAUAACUUCGGGAAACCGGAGCUAAUACCGGAUAAUACUUUGAACCGCAUGGUUCAAAAGUGAAAGACGGUCUUGCUGUCACUUAUAGAUGGAUCCGCGCUGCAUUAGCUAGUUGGUAAGGUAACGGCUUACCAAGGCAACGAUGCAUAGCCGACCUGAGAGGGUGAUCGGCCACACUGGAACUGAGACACGGUCCAGACUCCUACGGGAGGCAGCAGUAGGGAAUCUUCCGCAAUGGGCGAAAGCCUGACGGAGCAACGCCGCGUGAGUGAUGAAGGUCUUCGGAUCGUAAAACUCUGUUAUUAGGGAAGAACAUAUGUGUAAGUAACUGUGCACAUCUUGACGGUACCUAAUCAGAAAGCCACGGCUAACUACGUG
rnacentral:rRNA from 1 species